rnacentral:rRNA from 1 species
AAUGAACGCUGGCGGCGUGCUUAACACAUGCAAGUCGCACGAGAACGCUUCAGCUUGCUGGAGCUAGUAAAGUGGCGCACGGGUGAGUAACGCGUGGGUAAUCUGCCUCCGAAUUGGGGAUAACACUGCGAAAGCGGUGCUAAUAACGAAUAACACCUCCGGGACCCAGGUCCUGGAGAUCAAAGGUGGCCUCUACAUGUACGCUACUGUUUGGAGAUGAGCCCGCGUACCAUUAGCUAGUUGGUGGGGUAACGGCUCACCAAGGCUGCGAUGGUUAGCUGGUCUGAGAGGAUGAUCAGCCACACUGGAACUGACACACGGUCCAGACUCCUACGGGAGGCAGCAGUGAGGAAUUUUGCGCAAUGGGGGAAACCCUGACGCAGCAACGCCGCGUGAGUGAUGAAGGCUUUCGGGUCGUAAAGCUCUGUCAAGUGGGAAGAACCUGCUCCAUGCUAAUAUCAUGGUGCAUUGACGGUACCACUGAAGGAAGCACCGGCUAACUCCGUGCCAGCCGCCGCGGUAAUAC